rnacentral:rRNA from 1 species
CAGCCGCCACGGGAAUACGCAGGAUCCAAGCGUUAUCCGGAAUCAUUGGGUUUAAAGGGUCCGUAGGCGGUCUUGUAAGUCAGUGGUGAAAGCCCAUCGCUCAACGGUGGAACGGCCAUUGAUACUGCAGGACUUGAAUUAUUGGGAAGUAACUAGAAUAUGUAGUGUAGCGGUGAAAUGCUUAGAGAUUACAUGGAAUACCAAUUGCGAAGGCAGGUUACUACCAAUUGAUUGACGCUGAUGGACGAAAGCGUGGGUAGCGAACAGGAUUAGAUACCCCUGUAGUCCCUGUCUCUUAUAC